GCGUGCCUAAUACAUGCAAGUCGAACGAACUCUGGUAUUGAUUGGUGCUUGCAUCAUGAUUUACAUUUGAGUGAGUGGCGAACUGGUGAGUAACACGUGGGAAACCUGCCCAGAAGCGGGGGAUAACACCUGGAAACAGAUGCUAAUACCGCAUAACAACUUGGACCGCAUGGUCCGAGUUUGAAAGAUGGCUUCGGCUAUCACUUUUGGAUGGUCCCGCGGCGUAUUAGCUAGAUGGUGAGGUAACGGCUCACCAUGGCAAUGAUACGUAGCCGACCUGAGAGGGUAAUCGGCCACAUUGGGACUGAGACACGGCCCAAACUCCUACGGGAGGCAGCAGUAGGGAAUCUUCCACAAUGGACGAAAGUCUGAUGGAGCAACGCCGCGUGAGUGAAGAAGGGUUUCGGCUCGUAAAACUCUGUUGUUAAAGAAGAACAUAUCUGAGAGUAACUGUUCAGGUAUUGACGGUAUUUAACCAGAAAGCCACGGCUAACUACGUGCCAGCAGCCGCGGUAAUACGUAGGUGGCAAGCGUUGUCCGGAUUUAUUGGGCGUAAAGCGAGCGCAGGCGGUUUUUUAAGUCUGAUGUGAAAGCCUUCGGCUCAACCGAAGAAGUGCAUCGGAAACUGGGAAACUUGAGUGCAGAAGAGGACAGUGGAACUCCAUGUGUAGCGGUGAAAUGCGUAGAUAUAUGGAAGAACACCAGUGGCGAAGGCGGCUGUCUGGUCUGUAACUGACGCUGAGGCUCGAAAGUAUGGGUAGCAAACAGGAUUAGAUACCCUGGUAGUCCAUACCGUAAACGAUGAAUGCUAAGUGUUGGAGGGUUUCCGCCCUUCAGUGCUGCAGCUAACGCAUUAAGCAUUCCGCCUGGGGACGUACGGCCGCAAGGCUGAAACUCAAAGGAAUUGACGGGGGCCCGCACAAGCGGUGGAGCAUGUGGUUUAAUUCGAAGCUACGCGAAGAACCUUACCAGGUCUUGACAUACUAUGCAAAUCUAAGAGAUUAGACGUUCCCUUCGGGGACAUGGAUACAGGUGGUGCAUGGUUGUCGUCAGCUCGUGUCGUGAGAUGUUGGGUUAAGUCCCGCAACGAGCGCAACCCUUAUUAUCAGUUGCCAGCAUUAAGUUGGGCACUCUGGUGAGACUGCCGGUGACAAACCGGAGGAAGGUGGGGAUGACGUCAAAUCAUCAUGCCCCUUAUGACCUGGGCUACACACGUGCUACAAUGGAUGGUACAACGAGUUGCGAACUCGCGAGAGUAAGCUAAUCUCUUAAAGCCAUUCUCAGUUCGGAUUGUAGGCUGCAACUCGCCUACAUGAAGUCGGAAUCGCUAGUAAUCGCGGAUCAGCAUGCCGCGGUGAAUACGUUCCCGGGCCUUGUACACACCGCCCGUCACACCAUGAGAGUUUGUAACACCCAAAGUCGGUGGGGUAACCUUUUAGGAACCAGCCGCCUAAGGUGGGACAGAUGAUUAAGGGUGAAGUCGUAACAAGGUAGCCGUAGGAGAACCUGCGU
rnacentral:rRNA from 2 species